rnacentral:rRNA from 1 species
ACGCUCGACACCUACGGGGGCAGCAGUGGGGAAUAUUGGGCAAUGGGCGAAAGCCUGACCCAGCAACGCCGCGUGAGGGAAGAAGGUUUUCGGAUUGUAAACCUCUGUCCUCAGGGACGAAGGACGUGACGGUACCUGAGGAGGAAGCCCCGGCUAACUACGUGCCAACAGCCGCGGUAAUCUGAGCGGGCUGGCAAGGC